rnacentral:rRNA from 1 species
CCCUACGGGGUGCAGCUGGCGGUCAGAUGGGUGGCGAAUUCGGCGGAAACGCAGAAAGCAACUACUACAGUGGUUUCCAAUAUCAGCCUAAAUUUGCUCCAAUCAUUAUGAACGGAAUACUCUACUAUCAGGCGCAGCCCAACUACAACUCGCUAACCCAGGGCUUCGUAGCUAAAGACUUAAGAACAGGCGAGACGAUUUGGACAAAGAACUAUAACAAUUACUUUGCAAACGGCUCACAGGACGUACUACUAUGCGGGCAGAUCUAUGUCUAUAAGACCAUGAACACCUACGGUGGACAAACCUAUCUAUGGGCUACAAGAUCCAACGGGUCAAGCACUAACCUCGACUGCUUUGACGCUGCAACAGGCAACUUCCUUUUCACUGUCUGGGGCGGCGGGGGGGC